UACGGAGGGUGCAAGCGUUAUCCGGAUUCACUGGGUUUAAAGGGUGCGUAGGUGGGCUGGUAAGUCAGUGGUGAAAUCCCCGAGCUUAACUUGGGAACUGCCAUUGAUACUAUCAGUCUUGAAUACUGUGGAGGUCAGCAGAAUAUGUCAUGUAGCGGUGAAAUGCUUAGAUAUGACAUAGAACACCAAUUGCGAAGGCAGCUGGCUACACAAAUAUUGACACCGAUGCACGAAAGCGUGGGGAUCAAACAGG
rnacentral:rRNA from 1 species